rnacentral:rRNA from 1 species
AUACGUAGGGUGCGAGCGUUGUCCGGAAUUACUGGGCGUAAAGAGCUCGUAGGUGGUUUGUCGCGUCGUCUGUGAAAUUCCGGGGCUUAACUCCGGGCGUGCAGGCGAUACGGGCAUAACUUGAGUACUGUAGGGGAGACUGGAAUUCCUGGUGUAGCGGUGAAAUGCGCAGAUAUCAGGAGGAACACCGGUGGCGAAGGCGGGUCUCUGGGCAGUAACUGACGCUGAGGAGCGAAAGCAUGGGUAGCGUACAGGAUUAGAUACCCUGGUAGUCCAUGCCGUAAACGGUGGGCGCUAGGUGUAGGGGUCUUCCACGACUUCUGUGCCGUAGCUAACGCAUUAAGCGCCCCGCCUGGGGAGUACGGCCGCAAGGCUAAAACUCAAAUGAAUUGACGGGG